rnacentral:rRNA from 1 species
AUUGAACGCUGGCGGCAGGCCUAACACAUGCAAGUCGAACGGUAACAGGAAGAAGCUUGCUUCUUUGCUGACGAGUGGCGGACGGGUGAGUAAUGUCUGGGAAACUGCCUGAUGGAGGGGGAUAACUACUGGAAACGGUAGCUAAUACCGCAUAACGUCGCAAGACCAAAAAGGGGGACCUUCGGGCCUCUUGCCGUCGGAUGUGCCCAGAUGGGAUUAGCUAGUAGGUGGGGUAACGGCUCACCUAGGCGACGAUCCCUAGCUGGUCUGAGAGGAUGACCAGCCACACUGGAACUGAGACACGGUCCAGACUCCUACGGGAGGCAGCAGUGGGGAAUAUUGCACAAUGGGCGCAAGCCUGAUGCAGCCAUGCCGCGUGUAUGAAGAAGGCCUUCGGGUUGUAAAGUACUUUCAGCGGGGAGGAAGGGAGUAAAGUUAAUACCUUUGCUCAUUGACGUUACCCGCAGAAGAAGCACCGGCUAACUCCGUG